rnacentral:rRNA from 1 species
AAUAUUGGACAAUGGGCGCAAGCCUGAUCCAGCAACGCCGCGUGGAGGACGAAGGCCUUCGGGUCGUAAACUCCUGUCAGUUGGGACGAAAAGCCGUCGAUUAAUAGUCGGCGGUCCUGACGGUACCAGCAGA